GACAGCAUGCCCGUCUUUCAGUGUUUUUGCCUCUCCUGAUGGAUUUGAGUCCAACCUUGAAACUGGGUGAAUACAGGGCAAAGAACAUGAAACACAACCAUGGGGCGUCUGAUCACGGGGCCGGGGAGUGCUGGACUUGGCCUUUGUUUACUGGGGAACAGGAUGAGCAGCCCAGGCCACGAGCUCCAUACGUGGGCUGCCGGCAUCUUGAGUUGUAGUUGAGCACAUUGGACCUCACAGCUGGUUCCCAGCUAAUCUGGUUCCUGGUUAACUGCCUGGUCUGGUUGGACGGCCUUCCAAGGCAGAACUGAAGUUGCCAGAAGAGGCAGAAAUUCUGCUUCAACUGCAGCAUCCACUUCUGAAUCUCCAGCCUGCUGGCCUGCCCUGUGGAUUCUGGACAUGCUAGCCCCCACAAUCCUAGCCUUCCUAUGAGGGAAAGAUGUGACAUGAGAACAAACUGUUUGGAAGCAUCCGGGAGCUGUGGCAGGUGAUUUGGAAGUAACCCGGAUAGUCCUCAGUAGGAGAGCCUGCAGCCCUCACAGGGUCAUGGCGUCCAAGAGCUAAAAGGACCUUGGGAGCGUGUGUUAGAACCCUUCACUUCACUGGUGGAGGAGGGAGGGCUCUGAAUGGAAACUGGCUUGCUGGAGGCUGAACUGGGACUAGAACUCAAGUCAUCGAAAUUCUUCUCUAAGAUUCCUUUUGCAGGCCGCACUGGGGGUCUGUGGGCCAAAUCUGACCUGCUACCUGCUUUUGCAUGGCCUCAAGCUAAGAAUGACUCUUUUACAUUUUUAGAUGGUUGAAAAAAAAAUCAAAAGGCCUAUGAAAAUUAUAUGGGAUUCAAAUUUCAGUGUCCAUAAAAAAUGUUGUAUGGGUGCACAGCCACGGCCAUUUGUUUAUUGUUAUCAUCUGUUAUUGUUAUCAUUGUUAUGUUAUUAUUUUGUGCCACAACGGCAGAUUUGAUCAGUUGUGAGCAUGAAUGUAUGGCCUGUGAAGUUGAAAACACUAUAGAAAAAUGUGCUGACCCCUGCUCUACCACACUCCAACUCUUCAUCCUCCAGAUGGGCUGACACGGUUAUCACUUUCUUCUUAUUCAGUCAAAUCUACCCAUUCAUUGCUAGGUCUGGUUUUUGCCAUUUAUAUUCAGGAUUUCUUUAGAACCAAGUUCAGGCUAAAUGUUUUAUUGGGGAGUUCAGUACAAAUUGGUGCACGGGAGGGAGGUCUUUGAUUUGACUUUUGUGAUCCCAAUAUCUAGUUCUACUAAUGAUAUUUAAAAUGGUAUUAAUAGUUGUAUAUCAGCCAGAACUAGAGGAGGGAUCUGUCUAAUUCUCCACUCUGUAGCUUGGUUCACACCUGGGAUUCAUGGUGGUCACUACACUUAUUAAAAGGGAUAUUGACAAAACAUGUGUAGGCUAGUGUGAGCAAGUGAUAAAGAGAACUCAAAACUUUUUCCUUGAAAUACAACUAAUGUAGUUUGUUUCAGAAGAGGUACAAGCAUCUCUUGUCAGAUCCAAGAAAAGGCUGGCACAUUUCAUCCAAAGUUGAGUUCAUUCCCCAUCCAGUUAGGUCAAGUUAGAACGAGGGUUGCCAUCCAGUUAGGUCAAGUUAAAAUGAGGGUCACCAGCCUGGGUCCUAGGGUAAACGUUUAAUUCUGACAUCAGAGUUUCUGUUUGAAGGAAGUAGCAUAUGAAAAUUUUCUUUUUUAAAAAAUUCAGUUAAAUAAAUGUAUUAAUUUAGUAUGGAGAGGUUUUGGAUGGUUUAGCAAGAUAUACCACAAAUACCAAUUAAGAUACACAAUAUUUAAAGCAAUGUCCAAGAACAAUUUUCCAAAACAUAAGCCCUUAGCUCUUCAAAGUAGAGGUUUUUUUUUCUCCACUCUGUAAUGUCUUACAUGGGGAUAAUGUAAAGAAAAAAGGAGACUCCUUGGUUUUGCUGUGGGGUGAAACAGAGCUAGGAGCUGGCCAGGCAGACAUGUUCUCUGUGAUUUGCAUGUUAUCAGGAAGCCUCUGGCUUGCUGAAAUUCUUCAUUAGAAACUCCAACUCCAAUUUGAUACAUUUCAGACGUCACAAUUUUCACUAAUAAAGAGAUUGAAGAAA